GAUGAACGCUGGCGGCGUGCCUAAUACAUGCAAGUCGAGCGAACGGACGAGAAGCUUGCUUCUCUGAUGUUAGCGGCGGACGGGUGAGUAACACGUGGAUAACCUACCUAUAAGACUGGGAUAACUUCGGGAAACCGGAGCUAAUACCGGCUGAUAUUUUGAACCGCAUGGUUCAAAAGUGAAACACGGUCUUGCUGUCACUUAUAGAUGGAUCCGCGCUGCAUUAGCUAGUUGGUAAGGUAAUGGCUUACCAAGGCAACGAUGCAUAGCCGACCUGAGAGGGUGAUCGGCCACACUGGAACUGAGACACGGUCCAGACUCCUACGGGAGGCAGCAGUAGGGAAUCUUCCGCAAUGGGCGAAAGCCUGACGGAGCAACGCCGCGUGAGUGAUGAAGGUCUUCGGAUCGUAAAACUCUGUUAUUAGGGAAGAACAUAUGUGUAAGUAACUGUGCACAUCUUGACGGUACCUAAUCAGAAAGCCACGGCUAACUACGUG
rnacentral:rRNA from 1 species